GACGAACGCUGGCGGCGUGCUUAACACAUGCAAGUCGAACGGAAAGGCCCUGCUUUUGUGGGGUGCUCGAGUGGCGAACGGGUGAGUAACACGUGAGUAACCUGCCCUUGACUUUGGGAUAACUUCAGGAAACUGGGGCUAAUACCGGAUAGGAGCUCCUGCUGCAUGGUGGGGGUUGGAAAGUUUCGGCGGUUGGGGAUGGACUCGCGGCUUAUCAGCUUGUUGGUGGGGUAGUGGCUUACCAAGGCUUUGACGGGUAGCCGGCCUGAGAGGGUGACCGGGCACAAUGGGAGUGGGAUAAGGCCCCGGCUGCCGCGGGAGGGAGCAGGGGGGAAUGGUGCACCAGGGGCGGAAGCCUGAAGCCGGCACGCCCGUUGCGGGAUGGCGGCCUUCGGGUUGUAAACCGCUUUCGCCUGUGACGAAGCGUGAGUGACGGUAAUGGGUAAAAAAGCACCGGCUAACUACGUG
rnacentral:rRNA from 1 species